GAUGCAACACAUUCCAUGGAGAAAGUGGCCUCAGGAAAGGUAGCCUUCUCUUCCAUGCUUCUUCCCUAAAUUAUAUGGGAAGAGGAUCCCACGUUCAAAUCCCUCACCUCUGCUACGUGUUGUGUGACCUGUGGCCCAGGGACACCACCUCACUGAGCGUCAGUUGUUUCCUUGAUAAAAAAGGAAGUGGGGGAGGGAUAGUAACAGUACCUGCCAGGUUUGUGGCAGCAUUAGAAGGUACAGCUUGUGCAAAAUACAGAUGAGGGGGUGCACAUCAGCGAAUGCCUCUCCUUCUCCCCAAGAAAGGGGCAAGACGAAGCCUUCCUGCUUGCCCACUGAGCAUCUCAGACCCUCCAGAGGGCAUACCAUGCACUGUCUGGAAGUGAAUCCUGUCCUACAGGGUCUGCAUCGCUGCCGGAGGUGGCAUGGCCAACUUGUGCAAACGUGUGUGACUUGGGAGGAAGCCCGGGAGAUACCUGACCCGACUUGGGGCCGAAGCCCUGCCGGGCAGCACCUCCGUGGAUCCCCUGCUGCCCUCUGGCUCCCUGCGUCUUCCUGUUUCCCUCUCAGCAACCCCAGCCUGCAGGCCCCAAGUGUGUGGACAUCCCCCCUCUCCCUCUCCUGCAUGCCCUCUUCCUCUGGCCCCUCCUUGCCCCUCCUGCUUCUCUCCUGCCAUAGCCCCACCCCUCUAAUAAUCUGGAGCCGUGUGGGAUGGAAUGCCGUGUGGUACCUCUGGGGCUGCCCCCUUUCCAGGAGCGUGCUGCCUGGCUUCUCUACUUGGCCAGCUCCCAGCCACCCUUAAGCUUCUGGCUCAGCAUCACUGUUUUCAGGAAGCGUGGACAUCGCCUCUCUUCAUCAUGCCCCUCGGCCCUGGAGGAUCUUCCUGUGUCACCUGGGAUGUCCCACUGCUCCCGUUGGAUGGGUGGCAUUCCGUAUUUGAGGAACAGGUGAACGAAUGAGCGAAUGAACAAACACAUGGGCUGAUUCGCAUUUUUAUCCUGCCAACCAUGGACUCCUCCGACACUUGUACCCUCUACGCUGGCCCGUCACGCAGCCAUCGCUGCUUCUGUCCACCUCGGUCAUAUACACAUGCCAUCUUAGCAACUCUCCUGCUAUAGCUCAGCACUCAGUAGAACUUUCCCUGGUGAUGGAGAUGUUCUGUCUGCACAUACCAGUAUGGUAGCCACUAGCCACGUGUGUCUCUGGAACCUUCGAAAUGUGGUAGGAUGAGCGAGGAAUUUAAUUUCAUUGUAAUUAAUUGGUAUUUAAAUUCACAGCCACGUGCUCCGAGUGGCUACUGUGCUGGACAGCACAGCUAAGCUCCCACGUUAAUGCCUUCAUUGCACACGGUCUCUUGACUGAGAGAUCACUGUCCACGGUAUGAAGCCCAAAUUCUUACAUCCCCGUGCGAUCCAACCCCUGAACCACUUUCCGCUCCCAUCUUGGCAGUAGUGGAGACCAACCGUGAUUGCAAGUAUGGCCUCGGGGGGCCAAGCAGCUUGGGUUCGAAGCUCAGCUCCGGGGUGCUGAAAAGAAAAGCAAGGAACUAUUCUGAGCACCACGACGGACAUGAUCGGAGUCUUUACAGUUUAAACUUUGCAGCCACCUGGCAAGAUAGGUAUUAUAAUUCCUAUUUUCAAGAUCAGGCCACUGAGGGUCUGAGAUUUAAGCAAGCGGCUCAGACACUCUGCUGGUAAGCACAAGAGCUGCGGCUCCAAUGCAGACGGGUCUGUUGGGUUGUUAGGGCCAAGGGUGGCCCAGCAAGGGACCACACCAUCUAGACACCGUAUUCACACUCUCACCUAGUCCAGGAUCUGUGCUCACCAAUAGCAGGCAGUGAAACUAUGCCAGUCCUGGGUUCACCCUUAUAGGAGACUGGUAGUCUCUGCUUCCUUUCUCUUGAAGCACUUAUUUAAAAUUUUUUUUAAUGUUUAUUUAUUUUUGAGAGAGAGAGACAGAAUCCAAAGCAGGUUCCAGGCUCUGAGCUGUUGGCACAGAGCCUGACACGGGACUCAAACGCAUGAACUGCAGGAUUGUGACCUGAGCUGAAGUCAGAAGCUUAACUGACUGAGCCACCCAGUGCCCUGAAACAUUAAAAAAAAAUUUUUUUUUAUGUUUAUUUAUUUUUGAAAGAGACAGAGACAGAGUGUGAACAGGGGAGGGGCAGAGAGAGGGAGACACAGAAUCCGAAACAGGCUCCAGGCUCUGAGCUGUCAGCACAGAGCCUGACAUGGGGCUCGAACUCACAAGCCAUGAGAUCAUGACCUGAGCCGAAGUCGGACACUUAACCGACUGAGCUACCCAGGCACCCCCCCGCAACACUUUAAAAAAAAAAAUUUUAUCAUUUAUUUUGGGGAAAGCACAUGUGGGGGACGGGUUGGAAGAGAGGGACAGAGGAUAUGAAGCAGGGUCUGUGCUGACAGGCUGACAGCAGGGAGCCUGAUGCAAGGCUUGAACUCACAAACUGGGAGAUCGUGACCUGAGCCAAAGUCGGACACAACCGACUGAGCGACCUCGGUGCCCCUCUCUAGAAACCUUUUUUGGAGGCUUUUGCUGCCAUGGAAGAAGUCCAGCUAUCCUGCUGGAGAGAUCCCAUGGAGAGGGUCAAGGACAGACCCUGAGACCACAUGGAGACGGGGAGAGGCCCAGACCCAGCCCUCCUAGCGUGUCAGUCAACUACCAGCAGACCUGCAACGACGUAAGGAACGCCAAGCAGCAAAAGCAGGAAAACUGCCCAGCAGAGCCCAAUCCCCCCACAGAACUGAGCCCAGAGAGAUAAUGACAGUGGUGGUUAUUGGAAGCCACUAAGGUUUGGAGCACUUUGUGACACAGCAGGAGAUGAACAAAACUCUUGUGUAAGAUGAGCUACUCCCAUCCACGUUACCGCUGCCCUGCUCUCUUACGCACUGGCCAGUUUUCAGUCCAUCUGAAGGCAGCAAAUACAUUCUAAAAGUGGUCUGUGGAACACCCACUUUUGCUCUCAUAUCUACUCCUGUCCCUCAGCCAGCAACUUCAGAAAGUGGUAAGCGUUCCUGUGUAGUGGGGAGGAACUAACACUGCCUAGUGCGUGAAUCAAGUUCCUUCACAUCUCUGAGGCUGUAAAAAUAAGGCUGUUAAUGACUCCCUUGCAGGGAUGUGUGGGAAUUAAAUAACAUACUGCUAAGCAGACACCUAGCAUGGCACUUGACACAUGUCAGGCAUCCAGCGAAUGGUGUUUAUGAGAGGCUGGAGGACACGGCUCCCACUGGCGACGAGUCUCGUGUCCCACUCUCCCCUUAUUAGCAAAGACCUAGAAAGCAGGGUUGAGGCUCCCAAGGGUCCAGAGCAGUGCCAAAGCUUCUUGAGAAAGAGCAGCUGCUGCUUGUUAUCUCUGUUUAC